GUUGGCCUCUAGCAUCCUUGAAAUGUCCAAACCAGAAUCGUAAGCCCUGAAAAAAUGGUCCUCGAUAUUUUUCAAUGCUUCCAACAACUCCCUCCCAUUUUUGGGUUCAUCGAUUACUCUCAAUCCCGUACUCUCCCCUUGGCCUACUACAUAUGCAUUAUCUCCACUUCUCACAUCUAUAAUUCCAUUCUCCUUAUGACCCACAUCACCAUUUUCCACAUUCGAAGCUUCACCCUCAUUCAUUACCUUCUCUCCAUCCUCUUCCAGCUCU
rnacentral:misc_RNA from 1 species